AUAUAGCUCAGUUGUGUGUAUACACAAUCCACACAUACACUACAACUACAUAUAUAUCAGCAGCCAUGAAUACCAAGCCCUUUUCUCUUGUUCUCAUACUCCUUCUCUUGAUUGUUUCGCCCCUAACAUCUGCUAGGAAACUCUUUUCUGAAACUCAAGUCUCGGGGUCAGGAGACUCGGGGCCGCCGGCAAAAGGCCAUAUUGGUUACAAUCCUUUGAAGAAAAAACCCAUAUGUUAUGGUACAAGGUACAGAACCUGUCUUCCUUCCCCCCCAAAAAAGCCACCAUGCAAUCCUUACAGACGCAACUGCAAUUAAAUCAAGCAUGUAACCUGCGACCGGGCUAAGGAUAUAUAUAUAUAUAUAUAUAUAUAUAUAUUAUAUAUAAAUUAUUAUCAAAUAAAUAAAUGAGCUGAGCAGAAAAUCUACUGUACGACAGUGUAUACUAGAUAAACUCACUCAAAACGUUGUAUGAGAAUUGUAUUCCACCUAUUCAGACAGACAGACACCCUUUCCAGGCAAUUAUUAUUCCAUCUUUGUAGCUAAAAGUUACUUUAAUUUCCUUUGAUUGUCUUAUGUGAUAUAUUAAGUAUAAUAAAAUAUAAAAAAAAAUUAUGGACUAUUUAUUUAUU